GCCUGUGUGGCUCAGCGGUUGAGCAUCUGCCUUUAGUUCAGGGCAUGAUCCCGGAGUGCUGGGAUCAAGUCCCACAACAGGCU
rnacentral:tRNA from 1 species